ACUCUGGUUAAUACCUGGGGUCCAUGACUGGUACCGUAAGAAUAAGCACCGGCUUACUACGUGCCAGCAGCCGCGGUAAUACGUAGGGUGCGAGCGUUAAUCGGAAUUACUGGGCGUAAAGCGUGCGCAGGCGGUUAUGUAAGACAGAUGUGAAAUCCCCGGGCUCUGUACCUGGGAACUGCUAUUUGUGACUGCAUAGCUAGAGUACGGCAGAGGGGGAUGGAAUUCCGCGUGUAGCAGUGUAAAUGCGUAGAUAUGCGGAGGAACACUCGAUGGCGAAGGCAAUCCCCUGGGCGCUGUACUUGACGCUCAUGCACGAAAGCGUGGGGAGCAAACAGGUAUUAGAUACCCUGGUAGUCCCACGCCGUAAGAUCGAUGUCAACUGGUUGUUGGGUCUUUCACGGACUCAUGUUACGAAGUUAUAUCGCGUGAAGUGGACCCGCUCUGGGGAUGUACGCCCGCCAAGGGUUGAAACUCAAAUGUAAUUG
rnacentral:rRNA from 1 species